UACGUAGGGUGCAAGCGUUGUCCGGAAUUAUUGGGCGUAAAGAGCUCGUAGGCGGUGUGUCGCGUCGGUCGUGAAACUUGGGACUUAACCCUGAGCUUGCGGUCGAUACGGGCAUCACUGGAGUUCGGCAGGGGAGACUGGAAUUCCGUGGUGUAGCGGUGAAAUGCGCAGAUAUCAGGAGGAACACCGGUGGCGAAGGCGGGUCUCUGGGCCGAUACUGACGCUGAGGAGCGAAAGCGUGGGAGCGAACAGG
rnacentral:rRNA from 1 species